rnacentral:rRNA from 1 species
GAUGAACGCUAGCGGCAGGCUUAACACAUGCAAGUCGAGGGGCAGCAUAAUGGAUAGCAAUAUCUAUGGUGGCGACCGGCGCACGGGUGCGUAACGCGUAUGCAACCUACCUUUAACAGGGGGAUAACACUGAGAAAUUGGUACUAAUACCCCAUAAUAUCAUAGAAGGCAUCUUUUAUGGUUGAAAAUUCCGAUGGUUAGAGAUGGGCAUGCGUUGUAUUAGCUAGUUGGUGGGGUAACGGCCCACCAAGGCGACGAUACAUAGGGGGACUGAGAGGUUAACCCCCCACACUGGUACUGAGACACGGACCAGACUCCUACGGGAGGCAGCAGUGAGGAAUAUUGGUCAAUGGACGCAAGUCUGAACCAGCCAUGCCGCGUGCAGGAUGACGGCUCUAUGAGUUGUAAACUGCUUUUGUACGAGGGUAAACGCAGAUACGUGUAUCUGUCUGAAAGUAUCGUACGAAUAAGGAUCGGCUAACUCCGUG